GUGAAUCAUCGAAUUUUUGAACGCAAAUUGCACUCUCCUCGGAGAGUAUGCCUGUUUGAGGGUCCGCCUAUACAAAUCGUCAUCGUUUCUGUUUCGCGGUGGCGUUCGUCGGACAUUUGGUCAUCUUAAUUCCUUUUGAUUUAAGUGACUUAAACUUUUCUUUUGUUUCCUUGAAGGUUUCUAAGAUUUAUUUUUUCACACGUUUUGGGUAUCGUUUUUGACUAGUCGUUAC
rnacentral:misc_RNA from 1 species